AGCGAACGCUGGCGGCAGGCUUAACACAUGCAAGUCGAGCGGGCACUUCGGUGUCAGCGGCAGACGGGUGAGUAACACGUGGGAACGUACCCUUUGGUUCGGAAUAACGCUGGGAAACUAGCGCUAAUACCGGAUACGCCCUUUUGGGGAAAGGCUUGCUGCCGAAGGAUCGGCCCGCGUCUGAUUAGCUAGUUGGUGGGGUAAUGGCCUACCAAGGCGACGAUCAGUAGCUGGUCUGAGAGGAUGAUCAGCCACACUGGGACUGAGACACGGCCCAGACUCCUACGGGAGGCAGCAGUGGGGAAUAUUGGACAAUGGGCGCAAGCCUGAUCCAGCAAUGCCGCGUGAGUGAUGAAGGCCUUAGGGUUGUAAAGCUCUUUUGUCCGGGACGAUAAUGACGGUACCGGAAGAAUAAGCCCCGGCUAACUUCGUG
rnacentral:rRNA from 1 species